GGCCAGCUCCCGCUGACAAGUUGUCACGGCGUUGACCCGCUUUAGGAUCUCUACCCACGCGUUGUUUUUCGUUAUAUGUGUGACUCCAGCAUUGAAGUGGUUAACCAGACUGCGCAACGGAAUGGCUUCCAGAAUCGACUUCUUCCUCCUCCGAACAACGCUUACGUCCGUAAUGGCCGAAGAACCGCCUUUUUAGUAAAUCUGUGCUCCCAUUGGUCGGUUUUCGCCCAGCUGCUCAAAAUGCCGUCGCUGCCAUUCGCUGAAGUUAACAUCACUCAAGCACAACGUAGGCAUCGUAGUGGCAGAUGUACUCUGGGACGAAUAGCCGGUGGGAUUUAGCGCUAAUGGUUUCGUGCCGUGUUUGCUUAUAUUCAGUAAAUUUACAUGUGUGUUUAACAUGCAAAAUGCAUCGAUGAAUGACAUGAGACACAUAAUGAGAAAUCGUGGUAUUCACUUAACGUGGUUAUCGCUUUAUGGGGGCGAUGCUUUGUGUUGCUGUGCAUGGGUCCAUAACAAUACUGACGCCAAUCGCAAAUAUGUACAUUUGUUUUUGAGUGGCCAGUUUUUUUUUGAGAAUUGUAUAGUUUCUUAUUCUUUGUCAGCAUAAGAAAACGACUGUCGCUUGGCACUUUCGGGACCAAUUCUCUGUUCAGUGAACAAUGCCGUAUCGGUAUGUGUAAAAUACAUUUUUAGGUAAUCUUUAUUUGAAUGAUGCAAGUUUACUUGCUUUAUUCGUCUUUUGUUCCUGUCUUGUUUGCUGGAAUUUUUCAAAAUGCCGUAUAUGUGUUGCAUGCUUGUAAUGUAAAAAUCAUUUCACAACGCGCUGUGGUCAAGCCCUCAGACGUUAUUUGCUGCUUUGUGCUGGUGUGGUAUAUUUAGGAGUAAAUAUGUUUAUUUAUUAUGAACUUUCAGUGCAUCAACAAAGAUAAAAGAAAAAGUUUGUAAAAAUCAA